rnacentral:rRNA from 1 species
GCCAAGCCGUCCGGUGGAUGGCUCGGCUCGGGCGCCGAGGAAGGGCGUGGCAAGCUGCGAUAAGCCCGGGGUAGCCGCAGGCGGGCGUUGAACCCGGGAUCCCCGAAUGGGGCUUCCUGCCGGGGCCGAAUAGGCCCCGGCGCCCCGUAGGGGGCGGGAACGCGGGGAAAGGAAACAUCUUAGUACCCGCAGGAAGAGAAACCAACAGGGAACCCCUGAGUAGGGGCGACCGAAAGGGGGAGAGCCCAAACCAAAUCCCUUCGGGAAGACCGAGGGGAGAUGUGGUGUUGUGGGCUCGGGUACCGCCGGCGGGCGGUAGCCGAAGUGGGCUGGAAAGCCCCGCCGUAGAGGGUGAUAGCCCCGUAGGCGAAACCGUCCGUGGCGGAGUCCCGGGAUCCCGGAGUACCUCGCCUUGGUUUUGGCGGGGGAAGCCGGCGGCCACUGGCCGCCAAGGCUAAGCACGUCCCGAGUCCGAUAGCGAACUAGUACCGUGAGGGAAAGCUGAAAAGAACCCCGGAAGGGGGGUGAAAAGAGCCUGAAACCGGACGGCUACAGUGGGGCGGGCCUCGAAGGAAGCCCCCUCCCGAAGGAAACCCCGGUGACGGGGGAGUACGAGGGAGAGGGUCCAGGGUCCGCCCUUACGUCUAGAAACACGGGCCGGGGAGUUCACGGCCGUGGCGAGCCUAAGGGGUCAAACCCCGGAGGCGUAGGGAAACCGACAGCCCGUAGCGGGGCAACCCGCGAGGGGCGGGGUCUGAAAGGGCCCGUAGUCACGGCCGUGAGACCAGAAACCGGGCGAUCUAGCCCUGGGCAGGGCGAAGCGGGGCGAAAGCCCCGUGGAGGCCCGAAAGGGUUCUGACGUGCAAAUCGUUCCCAUGACCUGGGGCUAGGGGCAAAAGACCAACCAAGCCCGGUGAUAGCUGGUUCCCCCCGAAGCGGGUCCCAGCCCGGCCUCCCCGGAGGCCGCCGGCGGGGUAGAGCACUGAUCGGGGGUGCAGGAGCCGAAAGGGUCCGGUCCCCGGUCAAACUCCGAACCUGUCGGCGCCGUAGAAGGGGGGAGGCGGGGCCGGUGGGGUAAGCCUCUGGCCCGAGACGGGAACAACCGGGACCGGGGUUAAGGCCCCAAAGUGCGGGCUAAGUGUCAACGUGCAAGGGCGUCCCUCGCCCAAGACAGCGGGACCGUGGGCCUAACAGCAGCCAUCGGCCAAGCAACGCGUAACAGCGGACCCGCCGAGGCGAGGGGCCCCGUAGAUGUAGAGGGACUCAAGCCCGCCGCCGAGACCCCGGGCCUCCGGCCGUUGGCCGGAGUGCGGUAGGGGGGCGCGGCCGUGGGGCAGAAGCCGGGCCGAGAGGUCCGGUGGACCCGCGGUCGACGAAGAUCCCGGCGGUAGUAGCAGCUAAGAGGGGUGAGAAGCCCCUCCGCCGGAAAGGACAAGGUUUUCCCGGCAACUUCAAUAGGCCGGGAGUAAGCCGGUCCUAAGGCGGGGCCUAGUAGGCACCCGCCGAAAGGGAAACGGGUUAAUAUUCCCGUGCCGCGGGGGUAGGUUCUGCGGCAACGCAGGCCCCGUCCCCGACGCCUCGGGAUAGGGCGGGCGGGACCGCCGUCCCGUUUAACCGUCGAAGGCCGGGGAGUGCCGUAACGGCGAGAACCGGCUGAAGGCGGGAAUAGCCGGGGGUUUCCCCGGUCCGCCCGACUCCUGGGGCCCGUGAAAAGGGGACGGGGAACGAGCCCCCGCGCCCGUACCGAGAACCGACGCAGGUGCUCCUGGGUGAGAAGCCCAAGGCGGCUCGGGUUAUCCCAGGCCAGGGAACUCGGCAAAUUAGCCCCGUAACUUCGGGAGAAGGGGUGCCUGCGGUCUUGGGGAACACCCCCGGGACCGCAGGUCGCAGUGACAAGGGGGACCUGACUGUUUAACAAAAACAUAGGUCCCCGCGAGCCCGUAAGGGUGUGUACGGGGGCUGAAUCCUGGCCACUGGCGGUACGUGAACCCCGGGUACAACCGGGCGAAGCGCCGCUGAAGGCCGGGGGUAACUCUGACCCUCUUAACGGGGGCGUUCCCCGCACGAAUGUAGAAGAGUUAAAUACUGAGGCGGCCUCCCUCCUCUAUGGAGUUGGGUUGCGUUGGUGGCGAUAUUGCCAUAGGGUAUGUCGUCGGCUUUAUCGACGCAGAGGCCAGCUUCUCGGUGUCGAUAAAGUAUCAGCGGGGAUACGGCCUGAGGCUAGAUCCCGUCUUCAGCAUUACGCAGUUAAACAGAGAGCCGCUUGAUGUGAUACACGGCGUAAUAAAUACAGGAAGAAUCAUCAAGAAACCAGGACAGAAACACCUACACCUCUACAUCGUCGGCAACAUCAAAGAAUUAACAGGACGCCUAAUACCAUUUCUAGACAAAUACCGACACCUCCUAUACUCAAAAGGCAAGGCCUAUGACCUAUUUAGAGAAAUCGUCACCUCACUCUCUAAAGGGAAACACAAAGAAAAAGAAGAAAUGCAGAGACUCGUGGCACUAGCAUACGAACUUUCACACAUAAACCCCAAGUCACGAAGAAAAAGAACACUCGAAGAAGUACUAAAACUCCUANNNNNNNNNNNNNNNNNNNNAAUCCUGGCCACUGGCGGUACGUGAACCCCGGGUACAACCGGGCGAAGCGCCGCUGAAGGCCGGGGGUAAACUCGGCCGUCCGCAGGCCGCAAGCUUUUAACCUAGGCGCCAUCCAGAGACGUGGAGUGCGACGGAGACGAGGCGUUUGCCUACCUCAUCGGCGCCUUGGGUGACGGCACUCUUUAUACGACAAACGAUGGCCAUUACGUUGUGGAGUACGGCCAGAAAGACGCGAGGUGGCUCAAAGUUAUAGAGCAGAAGGCCGGCUGUUUAGGCUACGCAGCACAUAUAGUUAGGCACAAGUCCCGCUACUGGAAGGCCCAAGAUAUACAGCAAAGAGCUAUACAGCUCUGUUGGAGGUUAAGUCCCGGUUGCGCGACGUGGUAAGCGCGCUUGAUACAAGGCUUUUUGUAGCGUAU